CCUGCGAGAGCCGCCGGGUCGGCCGAUCGUCCCCAUACCUCGGCCAUGCGGCCCCUGCUGCUCUUGGCCCCGCUGGGCUGGCUGCUGCUGGCCGAAGCGAAGGGCGACGCCAAGCCGGAGGACAACCUUUUAGUCCUCACGGUGGCCACUAAGGAGACCGAGGGAUUCCGUCGCUUCAAGCGCUCAGCUCAGUUCUUCAACUACAAGAUCCAGGCGCUUGGCCUAGGGGAGGACUGGAAUGUGGAGAAGGGGACGUCGGCAGGUGGAGGGCAGAAGGUCCGGCUGCUGAAGAAAGCUCUGGAGAAGCACGCAGACAAGGAGGAUCUGGUCAUUCUCUUCACAGACAGCUACGACGUGCUGUUUGCAUCGGGGCCCCGGGAGCUCCUGAAGAAGUUCCGGCAGGCCAGGAGCCAGGUGGUCUUCUCUGCCGAGGAGCUCAUCUACCCAGACCGCAGGCUGGAGACCAAGUAUCCGGUGGUCUCCGAUGGCAAGAGGUUCCUGGGCUCUGGAGGCUUCAUCGGUUAUGCCCCCAACCUCAGCAAACUGGUGGCCGAGUGGGAGGGCCAGGACAGCGACAGCGACCAGCUGUUUUACACCAGGAUCUUCUUGGACCCGGAGAAGAGGGUGAGCCGGCUGCAUUCUUAGAUUCCUUCCAGUUCAGAGUCCCUGGUGUUCUGUGAGUAGAGACACUAGACUGUAGACCCCAGGAGCUUGGCUGCUGGUCUCUGGGCACCCAGCUGCCCUGAUGUGGCGUGGCAGAGUAGGUGUGGGGAGAGAGGGCUGAGCUUUGGGGACAGAUUCACCACACUGGGUGAG
rnacentral:sRNA from 1 species